rnacentral:piRNA from 1 species
UGUCAAAAGAAAAAGCCCCGUUGCCUGUGU